GCAUCCUUAGCUCAGCUGGUAGAGCAACUGACUCUUAAUCAGUAGGCCGGCGGUUCAAACCCGCCAGGGUGUA
rnacentral:tRNA from 1 species